UGGGUCACUCAGUCAUGUUUCCUGGUAAAG
rnacentral:piRNA from 1 species